rnacentral:rRNA from 1 species
UACGUAGGGUGCGAGCGUUAAUCGGAAUUACUGGGCGUAAAGCGUGCGCAGGCGGUUAUUUAAGUCAGGUGUGAAAGCCCUGGGCUUAACCUAGGAAUUGCGCUUGAGACUGGAUAGCUUGGAGUGCGGCAGAGGGAGGUGGAAUUCCACGUGUAGCAGUGAAAUGCGUAGAGAUGUGGAGGAACACCGAUGGCGAAGGCAGCCUCCUGGGCCAGCACUGACGCCCAUGCACGAAAGCGUGGGGAGCAAACAGG